rnacentral:rRNA from 1 species
GAUUCGUCACACUAUCAUUAACUGAAUCCAUAGGUUAAUGAGGCGAACCGGGGGAACUGAAACAUCUAAGUACCCCGAGGAAAAGAAAUCAACCGAGAUUCCCCCAGUAGCGGCGAGCGAACGGGGAGGAGCCCAGAGCCUGAAUCAGCAUGUGUGUUAGUGGAAGCGUCUGGAAAGGCGCGCGAUACAGGGUGACAGCCCCGUACACAAAAGCGCAUGUGCUGUGAGCUCGAUGAGUAGGGCGGGACACGUGGUAUCCUGUCUGAAUAUGGGGGGACCAUCCUCCAAGGCUAAAUACUCCUGACUGACCGAUAGUGAACCAGUACCGUGAGGGAAAGGCGAAAAGAACCCCGGCGAGGGGAGUGAAAAAGAACCUGAAACCGUGUACGUACAAGCAGUGGGAGCCCCACCACUAAGCCAGUGGUGAACUCCACAUCCGCAUCCUUUGCUGAGGAUACGGUUAACGGAGCGAAAGCGACGUUCAACCGCAAAACAAGCAGAGGGGGCUUAGUGGUGGGGUGACUGCGUACCUUUUGUAUAAUGGGUCAGCGACUUAUAUUCUGUAGCAAGGUUAACCGUAUAGGGGAGCCGGAGGGAAACCGAGUCUUAAUUGGGCGUUAAGUUGCAGGGUAUAGACCCGAAACCCGGUGAUCUAGCCAUGGGCAGGUUGAAGGUUGGGUAACACUAACUGGAGGACCGAACCGACUAAUGUUGAAAAAUUAGCGGAUGACCUGUGGCUGGGGGUGAAAGGCCAAUCAAACCGGGAGAUAGCUGGUUCUCCCCGAAAGCUAUUUAGGUAGCGCCUCGUGAAUUCAUCUCCGGGGGUAGAGCACUGUUUCGGCUAGGGGGCCAUCCCGGCUUACCAACCCGAUGCAAACUGCGAAUACCGGAGAAUGUUAUCACGGGAGACACACGGCGGGUGCUAACGUCCGUCGUGAAGAGGGAAACAACCCAGACCGCCAGCUAAGGUCCCAAAGUCAUGGUUAAGUGGGAAACGAUGUGGGAAGGCCCAGACAGCCAGGAUGUUGGCUUAGAAGCAGCCAUCAUUUAAAGAAAGCGUAAUAGCUCACUGGUCGAGUCGGCCUGCGCGGAAGAUGUAACGGGGCUAAACCAU